CGGUCUCCGCAGUUUUGCGUGUUUAGCACCGCGUUUUGUUGGACAUUGCUGUGCAAACCUACGCAAAGCUGAGGGUACCG
ncrna:Petromyzon marinus (sea lamprey) microRNA pma-mir-19a precursor